CCUACGGGAGGCAGCAGUGAGGAAUAUUGGUCAAUGGCCGAGAGGCUGAACCAGCCAAGUCGCGUGAGGGAAGAAUGUCCUAUGGAUUGUAAACCUCGUUGGUCAGGGAGAAAAGUAACGCACGUGUGGGAGUUGGAGAGGACCGGAAGAAAAAGCAUCGGCUAACUCCGUGCCAGCAGCCUCGGUAAUACGGUGGGUGCGAGCGUUCUCCUGAUUGAAUGGGCUUAAAGGGUGCGUAGGCGGGUUCUCAAGUCAGCGGUAAAAUCGUGGAGCUCAGCCCCAGCCAGCCGUUGAAACUGAUGAUCUUGAGUGCGCGAGACGUCUGCGGAAUUCGUGGUGUAGCGGUUAAAUGCAUAGAUAUCACGCAGAACUCCGAUUGCGAAGGCAGCAUACCGGCGUCCGACUGACGCUGAGGCACGAAAGCGUGGGUAUCGAACAGGAUUAGAUACCCGAGUAGUC
rnacentral:rRNA from 1 species